GAUCUCGGUCGCUGGAAUGCCCCGAGAUCGAAAGCUCCGGCGCCAGAGGAUGGGUCUGCGGCCUAUCAGGCAGUAGUGGGUGUAGCGUACCUACUAGCCUACGACGGGUACGGGUUGUGAGAGCAAGAGCCCGGAGAUGGAUUCUGAGACAGGAAUCCAGGCCCUUACGGGGUGCAGCAGGCGCGAAAACUUUACAAUGCCGGCAACGGCGAUAAGGGGACCUCGAGUGCCAGGUUACAAAUCUGGCUGUCGUGAUGCCUAAAAAGCAUUGCAUAGCAAGGGCCGGGCAAGACCGGUGCCAGCCGCCGCGGUAACACCGGCGGCUCGAGUGGUAACCGUUAUUAUUGGGUCUAAAGGGUCUGUAGCCGGCCGGAUAAGUCUCUUGAGAAAUCUGGCAGCUUAACUGUCAGGCUUUCAGGAGAUACUGUCUGGCUCGAGGCCGGGAGAGGUGAGAGGUACUUCAGGGGUAGGGGUGAAAUCUUGUAAUCCUUGAAGGACCACCAGUGGCGAAGGCGUCUCACCAGAACGGACCUGACGGCAAGGGACGAAAGCUAGGGGCACGAACCGGAUUAGAUACCCGGGUAGUCCUAGCCGUAAACGAUACUCGCUAGGUGUCGGCCACGGUGCGACCGUUGUCGGUGCCGUAGGGAAGCCGUGAAGCGAGCCACCUGGGAAGUACGGCCGCAAGGCUGAAACUUAAAGGAAUUGGCGGGGGAGCACCACAACGGGUGGAGCUUGCGGUUUAAUUGGAUUCAACGCCGGAAAUCUUACCGGGACCGACAGCAAUAUGAAGGCCAGGCUGAAGACUUUGCCGGAUUAGCUGAGAGGUGGUGCAUGGCCGUCGUCAGUUCGUACUGUGAAGCAUCCUGUUAAGUCAGGCGACAAGCGAGACCCACGCCCACAGUUGCCAGCGUACUCUCUGGAGUGACGGGUACACUGUGGGGACCGCCGCUGCUAAAGCGGAGGAAGGAAUGGGCAACGGUAGGUCAGUAUGCCCCGAAUAUCCCGGGCUACACGCGAGCUACAAUGGUUGGUACAAUGGGUAUCUACCCCGAAAGGGGACGGGAAUCUCCUAAAACCAAUCUUAGUUCGGAUUGAGGGCUGCAACUCGCCCUCAUGAAGCUGGAAU
rnacentral:rRNA from 1 species